rfam:Heterocephalus glaber contig216010, whole genome shotgun sequence.
UGUGGUGUAGCUCAGUGGUAGAGCGUGAGCCUAGCAUGCUCUAGGCUCUGGGUUCCAUACCUAAUAUAGCAG